rnacentral:rRNA from 1 species
AGAGUUUGAUCCUGGCUCAGGACGAACGCUGGCGGCGUGCUUAACACAUGCAAGUCGAACGCGCCUGUUCCCCGGGUUUCUGGGGGGUGGGUGAGUGGCGAACGGGUGAGUAACACGUGAGUAACCUGCCCCCUUCUUCGGGAUAACGGUCUGAAAGGGCUGCUAAUACCGGGUAUUCACUGGUCCUCGCAUGGGGUCUGGUGGAAAGGUUGUUUUUCUGGUGGGGGAUGGGCUCGCGGCCUAUCAGCUUGUUGGUGGGGUGAUGGCCCACCAAGGCUUUGACGGGUAGCCGGCCUGAGAGGGUGACCGGUCACAUUGGGACUGAGAUACGGCCCAGACUCCUACGGGAGGCAGCAGUGGGGAAUAUUGCACAAUGGGCGCAAGCCUGAUGCAGCGACGCCGCGUGAGGGAUGGAGGCCUUCGGGUUGUGAACCUCUUUCGCCCGUGGUCAAGCCGCGACGUGGGUCGUGGUGAGGGUAGUGGGUAAAGAAGCGCCGGCUAACUACGUGCCAGCAGCCGCGGUAAUACGUAGGGCGCGAGCGUUGUCCGGAAUUAUUGGGCGUAAAGGGCUUGUAGGCGGCUGGUCGCGUCUGCCGUGAAAUCCUCUGGCUCAACUGGGGGCGUGCGGUGGGUACGGGCUGGCUUGAGUGCGGUAGGGGAGGCUGGAACUCCUGGUGUAGCGGUGGAAUGCGCAGAUAUCAGGAAGAACACCGGUGGCGAAGGCGGGUCUCUGGGCCGUUACUGACGCUGAGGAGCGAAAGCGUGGGGAGCGAACAGGAUUAGAUACCCUGGUAGUCCACGCUGUAAACGUUGGGCACUAGGUGUGGGGGCCACCCGUGGUUUCUGCGCCGUAGC